rnacentral:rRNA from 1 species
UAAUUUAAAGUCUAGCCUGCCCAAUGAUUAAUUUAAUGGCCGCGGUAUUUUGACCGUGCUAAGGUAGCAUAAUCAAUAGUUUUUUAAUUAAAAGCUGGAAUGAAGGGUUGGAUAAAAAAAUAACUGUCUUUAUUUAAUUUAAUUAGAAUUUUAUUUUUAAGUUAAAAAGCUUAAAUUUUAUUAAAAGACGAGAAGACCCUAUAGAGUUUUAUAAUUAUUUUUAUUAAUAUUUUAAGAAUUUAUUUUAUUAAUAAAAAUAAUUAUUUAAUUGGGGUGAUUGAAAAAUUUAAUUAACUUUUUUUAUAUUUAUACAUUUAUAAAUGACUAAUUGAUCCAUAUUUAAUGAUUAUAAGAUUAAAUUACCUUAGGGAUAACAGCGUUAUUUUUUUUGAGAGUUCAAAUCGAAAAAAAAGAUUGCGACCUCGAUGUUGGAUUAAAAUUAAUUUUUGGUGUAGAAGCUAAAAAAUUAGGUCUGUUCGACCUUUAAAAUUUUACAU